UACGAAGGGUGCAAGCGUUACUCGGAAUUACUGGGCGUAAAGCGUGCGUAGGUGGUUUGUUAAGUCUGUUGUGAAAGCCCCGGGCUCAACCUGGGAAUGGCAAUGGAUACUGGCAUGCUAGAGUGCGGUAGAGGGUAGUGGAAUUCCCGGUGUAGCGGUGAAAUGCGUAGAGAUCGGGAGGAACACCAGUGGCGAAGGCGGCUACCUGGACCAGCACUGACACUGAGGCACGAAAGCGUGGGGAGCAAACAGG
rnacentral:rRNA from 1 species